UCAUCAAUUAGCGAUUCCCGUCAAUCAAAUUGAUGGACAAAGUUACAUGAUUAAAAUCAAAUUAAAAUAUGAUAACACAAUUGAACAAAAUUAAAAUAUAAUUAUGUGGUCGACAUUAAGUGAAAGCAUAGUUACUAUGAUAGCAAUAGAGUGGGGGUUUGACAACCUUGUGUAAUACUAGGUAUUCUAGCCCGUAACAAGCCACUCUAGAGCAACAACACAAGGCCUGACUUUUGGUAUUACAUAGAUCAUCAUACUUCCAUAUCGAUCUUUUAAUCAGUAGUGCCAUUUUUCUAAUGCAGAUGAUUCUCAAAGAGGCAACUGCAGAGCAUACUUUUGAUACUAUUUAGAUCCUGUUCUUACUAUUCAUCUUGGUAAUAUCAUAGUCUUCAAGACUAUGGAAGAACGAGAAAAAGGGUUUUAGAAAUUCAUGGAGAUAAAACCAGACUUCUAU
rnacentral:lncRNA from 1 species